rnacentral:rRNA from 2 species
AAAUUGAAGAGUUUGAUCAUGGCUCAGAUUGAACGCUGGCGGCAGGCCUAACACAUGCAAGUCGAACGGUAACAGGAAGCAGCUUGCUGCUUCGCUGACGAGUGGCGGACGGGUGAGUAAUGUCUGGGAAACUGCCUGAUGGAGGGGGAUAACUACUGGAAACGGUGGCUAAUACCGCAUAACGUCGCAAGACCAAAGAGGGGGACCUUCGGGCCUCUUGCCAUCAGAUGUGCCCAGAUGGGAUUAGCUUGUUGGUGAGGUAACGGCUCACCAAGGCGACGAUCCCUAGCUGGUCUGAGAGGAUGACCAGCCACACUGGAACUGAGACACGGUCCAGACUCCUACGGGAGGCAGCAGUGGGGAAUAUUGCACAAUGGGCGCAAGCCUGAUGCAGCCAUGCCGCGUGUAUGAAGAAGGCCUUCGGGUUGUAAAGUACUUUCAGCAGGGAGGAAGGUGUUGUGGUUAAUAACCGCAGCAAUUGACGUUACCCGCAGAAGAAGCACCGGCUAACUCCGUGCCAGCAGCCGCGGUAAUACGGAGGGUGCAAGCGUUAAUCGGAAUUACUGGGCGUAAAGCGCACGCAGGCGGUCUGUCAAGUCGGAUGUGAAAUCCCCGGGCUCAACCUGGGAACUGCAUUCGAAACUGGCAGGCUUGAGUCUUGUAGAGGGGGGUAGAAUUCCAGGUGUAGCGGUGAAAUGCGUAGAGAUCUGGAGGAAUACCGGUGGCGAAGGCGGCCCCCUGGACAAAGACUGACGCUCAGGUGCGAAAGCGUGGGGAGCAAACAGGAUUAGAUACCCUGGUAGUCCACGCCGUAAACGAUGUCUACUUGGAGGUUGUGCCCUUGAGGCGUGGCUUCCGGAGCUAACGCGUUAAGUAGACCGCCUGGGGAGUACGGCCGCAAGGUUAAAACUCAAAUGAAUUGACGGGGGCCCGCACAAGCGGUGGAGCAUGUGGUUUAAUUCGAUGCAACGCGAAGAACCUUACCUGGUCUUGACAUCCACAGAACUUUCCAGAGAUGGAUUGGUGCCUUCGGGAACUGUGAGACAGGUGCUGCAUGGCUGUCGUCAGCUCGUGUUGUGAAAUGUUGGGUUAAGUCCCGCAACGAGCGCAACCCUUAUCCUUUGUUGCCAGCGGUUAGGCCGGGAACUCAAAGGAGACUGCCAGUGAUAAACUGGAGGAAGGUGGGGAUGACGUCAAGUCAUCAUGGCCCUUACGACCAGGGCUACACACGUGCUACAAUGGCGCAUACAAAGAGAAGCGACCUCGCGAGAGCAAGCGGACCUCAUAAAGUGCGUCGUAGUCCGGAUUGGAGUCUGCAACUCGACUCCAUGAAGUCGGAAUCGCUAGUAAUCGUGGAUCAGAAUGCCACGGUGAAUACGUUCCCGGGCCUUGUACACACCGCCCGUCACACCAUGGGAGUGGGUUGCAAAAGAAGUAGGUAGCUUAACCUUCGGGAGGGCGCUUACCACUUUGUGAUUCAUGACUGGGGUGAAGUCGUAACAAGGUAACCGUAGGGGAACCUGCGGUUGGAUCACCUCCUUA